AGGUUUUGGACCGCAGAGUGGUGGAGGGAAGAGUAGAGUUUCUGCUGAAAUGGAAGGGGUUCUCAGAUGAGGAUAACACAUGGGAGCCACAAGACAACCUGGACCUCGACCUUAUCGCCGAGUACAUGCCGAAACACAAGGAGACGGAGGAGAA